CGGAUAAAAGUUUAAUGUGAACUUUUGUGGGGAGGCGGUUGUUUACCGUCUCCCCACAAACUUUCAUAAUUAUGAUUAAAAUGUAAUAAUAAUUAAUAAAUUAAACAUUUUGAAAAUGUAAGUCAAAGACUAAAUUUAGAUUCAUCUCUGUAUAACUAAGAAGAAAAAGAUAGAGAGAGAGAGAGGCAGAGGAAAAAUCGAUAUUUGGAAUCGGAACUGCAGUCUCGUAUAUACGUAUCGCUAUCUCUCUUAAACUCGUAAUAGAAAAAUGACGAAAACUUGGGCCAAAACGAAAUUGAAAAUGAUUUUUGGGUGGAUUGUUAUCCUUUACGUGUUUUGCAAUCGUCCAGUUAUAGGAUGGACUACCUUCGAUCAUCCUAAGAUGCAUAGUUGGGAUUUCGAAUUUGAUGAAGCUGAGGAAGAGAAGGUAAUGGUGCCUAGUAAAAUGUUUGGGGGUCAACAACUGAUAAAUUUUCUUAAUUUAAAACUUGUUUUUCUUAAUAUAUUUUUCCAGAUUACGUAAACUUUGAAUUAUAUAAAGAUUAUUGUUAAAUUUUUGUUCUCUUACUGAUGUUUCAUUUCUUGAAG
rnacentral:lncRNA from 1 species